rnacentral:rRNA from 1 species
GACGAACGCUGGCGGCGUGCUUAACACAUGCAAGUCGAGCGGUAAGGGCCCUUUCGGGGGUACACGAGCGGCGAACGGGUGAGUAACACGUGGGUGACCUGCCCUCAGCUCUGGGGAUAAGCCCGGGAAACUGGGUCUAAUACUGGAUAUGACUCCAUGACGCAUGUUGUGGGGUGGAAAGCCUUGUGCGGCUGAGGAUGGGCCCGCGGCCUAUCAGCUUGUUGGUGGGGNGAUGGCCUACCAAGGCGACGACGGGUAGCCGGCCUGAGAGGGGCGACCGGGCCACACUGGGACUGAGACACGGCCCAGACUCCUACGGGAGGCAGCAGUGGGGAAUCUUGCGCAAUGGGCGAAAGCCUGACGCAGCGACGCCGCGUGAGGGAUGACGGCCU